ACUGGAGGAGGUGCUGCGCGGGUGACGUCAUCUCUAGGCGCCGGCCGUUGCUAAGAAAACCGUUGGUUGCUAGCGCCGCAGGUCACUCCUGUGGACCAGUUCCUAGGUCGUCUGUGGAAUCCUGUCAGGGUCGCGCUUGCUCUGCUCGGGAAGCAGGGUGGUAGUAAGAAUGUCAAAAGAGAGAAGAAAAGGUACACGUCGGAGAAGAGGUGACCGUAGAAAUGACUUGGCAAAAAUUUGCUAUGGAGGUGAAAAUAAGUGUUCAAUUCUGACAUCAAUCAACAUGCAUUUG